GAUCGAUGGCUCAGGAUGAACGCUAGCUACAGGCUUAACACAUGCAAGUCGAGGGGCAGCAUUGGAGUAGCAAUACUCAGAUGGCGACCGGCGCACGGGUGAGUAACACGUAUCCAACCUGCCGCUUACUCGGGGAUAGCCUUUCGAAAGAAAGAUUAAUACCCGAUGGUAUAAAGAGUUCGCAUGUUCUCUUUAUUAAAGAAUUUCGGUAAGCGAUGGGGAUGCGUUCCAUUAGAUAGUUGGCGGGGUAACGGCCCACCAAGUCUACGAUGGAUAGGGGUUCUGAGAGGAAGGUCCCCCACAUUGGAACUGAGACACGGUCCAAACUCCUACGGGAGGCAGCAGUGAGGAAUAUUGGUCAAUGGACGAGAGUCUGAACCAGCCAAAAGUAGCGUGAAGGAUGACUGCCCUAUGGGUUGUAAACUUCUUUUAUAAGGGAAUAAAGUGAGGGACGUGUCCCUUUUUGUAUGUACCUUAUGAAUAAGGAUCGGCUAACUCCGUGCCAGCCGCCGC
rnacentral:rRNA from 1 species